GAUGAACGCUGGCGGCGUGCCUAAUACAUGCAAGUCGAGCGAACGGACGAGAAGCUUGCUUCUCUGAUGUUAGCGGCGGACGGGUGAGUAACACGUGGAUAACCUACCUAUAAGACUGGGAUAACUUCGGGAAACCGGAGCUAAUACCGGAUGAUAUUUUGAACCGCAUGGUUCAAAAGUGAAAGACGGUCUUGCUGUCACUUAUAGAUGGAUCCGCGCUGCAUUAGCUAGUUGGUAAGGUAACGGCUUACCAAGGCAACGAUGCAUAGCCGACCUGAGAGGGGGAUCGGCCACACUGGAACUGAGACACGGUCCAGACUCCUACGGGAGGCAGCAGUAGGGAACCUUCCGCAAUGGGCGAAAGCCUGACGGAGCAACGCCGCGUGAGUGAUGAAGGUCUUCGGAUCAUAAAACUCUGUUAUUAGGGAAGAACAUAUGUGUAAGUAACUGUGCACAUCUUGACGGUACCUAAUCAGAAAGCCACGGCUAACUACGUG
rnacentral:rRNA from 1 species